UACGUAGGUGGCAAGCGUUGUCCGGAAUUAUUGGGCGUAAAGCGCGCGCAGGCGGUUCCUUAAGUCUGGUGUGAAAGCCCCCGGCUCAACCGGGGAGGGUCAUUGGAAACUGGGGAACUUGAGUACUGAAGAGGAAAGCGGAAUUCCACGUGUAGCGGUGAAAUGCGUAGAGAUGUGGAGGAACACCAGUGGCGAAGGCGGCCUUCUGGUCAGUAACUGACGCUGAGGCGCGAAAGCGUGGGGAGCAAACAGG
rnacentral:rRNA from 1 species